AUGCCCCAAUCUCUCCUGGAGGCAGUUUUGAGGAUGGAAGAACCUCUCAAUCGCAGCAAACACUGGGUAGAUUCAGAUGACAAAGAGGAUGAAGAGGAAGAAGAGGAGGAACUAAUUAUCCAUGCGGAAAUAGAAGAAGGCAUUCGGUCUGUUGACACCAUCUCAAGUAUUCCAGCUGCUGCGGAAACACAUGAUGUUAUCGACCUUCGAAGCUGCAGAGGAAGGAGCCAGAUAACCAGGCAGAAAGGCCAUUAUACCAGGUAUGUGCUAGUGGGAGCUCAAACUAAACCGUGUCAUCAGGCGGCAGUAUUGGUGAUGGACCUGGGGAAUUGGGAAAGCCUCCAAGUGACAGGCACCCAACCCAGUAUGUUAAAUGUUUCUGGAUUCCUGCAUCAUGAUGGACCUUGGAGAGCCGGAGAGGAAUUGGACGACGAAGAGGAGGAACUGGAAGAUGGGAAAAUAGAAAAAGGCACUCAGGAAGAGGAAGAUGAGAAGGAUGAACUGGAAGAUGGGGAAAUAGAAGAAGCUACUCGGGAACACGUAGAAGAGGAGGAGGAACUGGAAGACAGGGAAAUAGAAGAAGCUACUCAGCAAGAGGAAGAGGAGCUGGACGAUGGGGAAAUAGUACAAGGUAUUUCGGCUAGAGGAGGCGGAGGAACUGGAAGAUGGGGAAAUAGUGGAAGACAUUCAGCAAGAGGAGGAAGAGGAGGAGCUGGCAAGAUGGGCAGCAAGAGGAAGAAGAGGAGGAACUGGAAGAUGGGGAAAUAG
rnacentral:rRNA from 1 species